CCUACGGGAGGCAGCAGUGGGGGAUAUUGCACAAUGGGGGGAACCCUGAUGCAGCGACGCCGCGUGGGUGAAGAAGCGCCUCGGUGCGUAAAGCCCUGUCAGCAGGGGAGAAAAUGACGGUACCUGAAGAAGAAGCCCCGGCUAACUACGUGCCAGCAGGCGCGGUAAUACGUAGGGGGCAAGGGUUAUCCGGAUUUACUGGGGGUAAAGGGGGCGCAGACGGCGAUGCAAGCCAGGAGUGAAAGCCCGGGGCCCAACCCCGGGCCUGCCCUUGAAACUGCGUGGCUUGAGUGAAGGAGGGGCAGGCGGAAUGCCUGGUGUAGCGGUGAAAUGCGUAGAUAUCAGGAGGAACACCGGUGGCGAAGGCGGCCUGCUGGACUGCAACUGACGUUGAGGCCCGAAAGCGUGGGGAGCAAACAGGAUUAGAUACCCGAGUAGUC
rnacentral:rRNA from 1 species